rnacentral:piRNA from 1 species
UGCAUUUCUGUGUUAUCUGUUUUAUUCUCUG